rnacentral:tRNA from 34 species
GCCGGGAUAGCUCAGUUGGUAGAGCAGGGGACUGAAAAUCCUCGUGUCA